UCCCUAUAGCUCAGAUGGUAAAGAAUCUGCCUGCAAUGCAGGAGGCCCAGGUUCGAUCCCUGGGUCGGGAA
rnacentral:tRNA from 1 species